UACGGGGGGGGCAAGCGUUGUUCGGAAUUACUGGGCGUAAAGGGCUCGUAGGCGGCCAACUAAGUCGGAUGUGAAAUCCCCAGGCUCAACCUUUGAACGCCGAUGGAUACUGCCGGGCUAGAGUCCGGAAGAGGCGAGUGGAAUUCCUGGUGUAGCGGUGGAAUGCGCAGAUAUCAGGAGGAACACCAAUAGCGAAGGCAGCUCGCUGGGACGGUACUGACGCUGAGGCGCGAAAGCGUGGGGAGCGAACAGG
rnacentral:rRNA from 1 species